CCUACGGGAGGCAGCAGUGGGGAAUAAUGGGCAAUGGAGGAAACUCUGACGGAGCAACGCCGCGUGAAGGAUGAAGGUUUUCGGAAUGUAAACCUCUGGCGAGAGGGAAGAAGAAUGAAGGUACCGUGCAAGAAAGCGAAGGCACACUCAGUGCCAGCAGACGCGGUAAGACGUAGGGGGCGAGCGUUGUCCGGAAUGACUGGGCGUAAAGGGAGGGGAGGCGGCUUCUUAAGGUAUGUGUGACAGCACGCGGCUCAACCGAGGAAUUGCACAUAAAACUGGUAAGCUGGAGUGCAGGAGCGGUAACUGGAAUUCCCGGUGUAGCCGUGUAAUGCGUAGAUAUCGGGAGGAACUCCAGUGGCGAAGGCGACUUCCUGGACUGUAACUGACGCUGAGGCUCGAAAGCCUGGGGAGCGAACAGGAUUAGAUACCCUUGUAGUC
rnacentral:rRNA from 1 species